rnacentral:rRNA from 1 species
UACGUAGGGUGCAAGCGUUAUCCGGAAUUAUUGGGCGUAAAGAGCUCGUAGGCGGUUUGUCGCGUCUGCUGUGAAAACUGGGGGCUCAACCCCCAGCCUGCAGUGGGUACGGGCAGACUAGAGUGCGGUAGGGGAGAUUGGAAUUCCUGGUGUAGCGGUGGAAUGCGCAGAUAACAGGAGGAACACCGAUGGCGAAGGCAGAUCUCUGGGCCGUAACUGACGCUGAGGAGCGAAAGCAUGGGGAGCGAACAGG